rnacentral:rRNA from 1 species
ACGAGCGAGAGAGAGCUUGCUUUCUCGAGCGAGUGGCGAACGGGUGAGUAACGCGUGAGGAACCUGCCUCAAAGAGGGGGACAACAGUUGGAAACGACUGCUAAUACCGCAUAAGCCCACGACCCGGCAUCGGGUUGAGGGAAAAGGAGCAAUCCGCUUUGAGAUGGCCUCGCGUCCGAUUAGCUAGUUGGUGAGGUAACGGCCCACCAAGGCGACGAUCGGUAGCCGGACUGAGAGGUUGAACGGCCACAUUGGGACUGAGACACGGCCCAGACUCCUACGGGAGGCAGCAGUGGGGAAUAUUGCACAAUGGGGGAAACCCUGAUGCAGCGACGCCGCGUGGAGGAAGAAGGUCUUCGGAUUGUAAACUCCUGUUGUUGAGGAAGAUAAUGACGGUACUCAACAAGGAAGUGACGGCUAACUACGUGCCAGCAGCCGCGGUAAAACGUAGGUCACAAGCGUUGUCCGGAAUUACUGGGUGUAAAGGGAGCGCAGGCGGGAAGGCAAGUUGGAAGUGAAAUCCAUGGGCUCAACCCAUGAACUGCUUUCAAAACUGUUUUUCUUGAGU